AAGUCUGUGGGAACCAGCUGUGCAUAAAGAAGUGAGAACAGACAAAAGGAAACGAUCAGAUGCUUGGACAGAGAGGGGGAGGCCAGCAAGGCUGGGCCGGGGAGAUGCCGCUUCAUCUCUCUGUGACACAUUCCUUCCUCCCAGUCUUCAUUGUGAGAGCUCCAGCCGGCAGAGGAUGUCAAGUAAAUAAUGUUUUCUCCUGCUUAUCUUUUACUAGAGUGUGGUCAGUCAUGAAUCUUGGACUGGAAGAGAGAAAUAUAUAAUCAUGUCCUUUACAGAUUCUGGGACCUGAAGAAUGUAUCCACGGUCUGGUACCUGCUCAGAAGACUGCAGAAAUGCCAGGCAGAGCUGAUAAAAGCCAUCUGAAGGGCAAUGAUUUUUUUUUAAACCAGUGUUCACAAGGUCCGGGUGAUUUGCCUGUAGAGAUGAAGAUGCAGUUCCUCUGGUCUCUUGCUUCUCAAGUUGGGAUGAACAGUAGCAAAGCUUUGGUGUGUUUCUUCUUUUCUUGUUACAUUGUUUCUUGUUAUGGGAUGUCAGGUAUGAAACUUGUGCUAAGGGAAAGAAAUUUGCCCCAGUAUGUACACAUUAAGCUUAGCGCAGACUUUUCUCUU
rnacentral:lncRNA from 1 species